UUCAAUUAUUUGAGUAAUGCUUUGGGAUUAUUUGCUUUUUAAUAAAAUCUGCUUUUCCUUAUUUUGAUGUUUAGUAUAAUUUUAUUGAAAGUUGGACCAUAAGAAAGGCUGAGCGCCAAAGAACUGAGGCCUUUGAACUAUGGUACUGGAGAAGACUCCCGUGAGUCCCUUGGACUACAAGGCAAACAAACAAGUCAGUCCUAGAGGAGAUCAACCCUGACUGGUCUUUAGAAGCCCAGAUCCUGAAGAUGAAACUCAAAUACUUUGGCCACCUAAUAAGAAGGAAUGACUCACUGGAGAAGUGCCUAAUACUGGGAAAGAUUGAGGGCAAAAGAAGAACGGGAUGACAGAGAAUGAAAUGGCUGGAUGGAGUCACUGAAGCAGUAGGCGUGAGCUUAAAUUGACUCCAGAGAUUGGUAGAGGACAGGAAGGCCUGGAGGAACAUUGUCCAUGGGGUUGCAAUGGGUUGGACACAACUUUGCAAAUAACAACAACAUAAUUUUAUUGCUUCAAGUUAUGGCAGCUACCCUAGAUACUUUAUGAAAACUACAAUUUUCUUUUUUUUUUGCCAAUUUUUUAAAAAAUUUUUUACAAGCAUAAUAAAAAAGAAUCAUUGUGAACAAAUUAUUGGUCAGGUACAUAUUUCAAGUUUCACCUAAGUUAUAAUCUAAUACAAUGUAUUUUCCUUCUUCUUCUUCAAGUUCAAUUAUUUAUUUGCACACAAUCUGAUUAUAGAAGUAAAUCAAAUUCAACCCAUUCAGGAAAAUAUUUAAAUGAAGUCUAGUCCCCGUGCUUAAUUCCCUUCAACGUCAUUAAUAAAUUCUAUUAACGUUUUAAAUUUUCACCACUCUCAGCAUUACAUCUACAUUACUAAUCAGAGAUCAUCCUCUCUAAAAUCUCUUUUUUAAAACUGCCCAGAGAUCACAUAGACAAUUUCAUUCUUUCCUUUGUCUUCCUCUGCCUCUAAAUCAAUAAUAUAUAUUUAAAGUUUUCCAUCUAAUCCAUUUUAAUAUCAAACAGAAAAUUUAACAUUUGCAAGGGUAAUCUCUAAUUAUUUCCCUCAAUUAUCCCCGCAAAAUAUUAACUGUUUCCUUGGAAGUUUUAUCAAAUCCUUUCAUUACCUUACUUAUUUGUAAGAACAAAAAAAAGAGAAUUUUUUCUUCAAUAUAAUAACACGCAUUUCCCUCUUAUCCCAAUUUAUUCUAGUAUUUUACCUCCAUUUCCCAAAACUUCAAUUAUUUUUAUCAUAGUUGUCACUCAUAAUAUAGAUAUUAACAUUUUCUAAAAUAAAUUUUCUUAACCUAACUCUAAAGGCAGCCAUUAGUUCCUUUCAAAAAAAUGUUGUGUGACUACAUCAGCAGCACAUUCUCCGUGGGAACAGUCCACUAUUCCACUCUUACUUUCUUUCUUUGCCUCUGAAUUCUUCUUAAGUAAGGAAUUUUCCGCUUAAAUCAAUCAUCCAAAGACACACCAUCUAGAAAUCUCUUCUAAAACUGUUGUGUGGUCCUAACGACAUCAAUCCUCAUGGGAAUAGCUAUUCGACUCUGCUAUUUUCCUCUGUCUCUAAUUAUAAAGGCAGCCAUAAGUUCCUUUCAAAAAAAUGUUGUGUGCCCACACCCACAGAACUUUCUCCAUGGGGAAUAGUCUGCUAUUCCAUUCUUGCAUACUUUCUUUGCCUUUGGAUUCUUGUUUAAAUAGGGAAUUCAAUUUCUAUAGUUCAAAGACACGCCAUCUGAAACUCUCUUUUAAAGCUGUUGUGUAGUCCCAGCAACAACAAUCCUCUAGCUAUCUUCCUCUGCCUAUCGAUGUCUCCUUUUGAAACAGUUACAGCUCACAAGUAAUAAGUAGCCAUUUUGGUGACAAAGUUCCUUUGUUCUCAAAUGCUUUGGUAUAUGGAGAUCAAUUUUCCAGGAUUUCUGCUUUAUUGUAUUUAAUUAUCUUCCAGGUUCUUAUGUCCUAUUGAUAUCUUUAAUAUUCCAUAAAUUUAAAACAGAGGGAUUUGAGAUAUUCACAUAAAAAACAGUUCAAUAGCUUCUUUUACCUUUUUCUCCUAUUUCUUUAAUUUCCAAUAUAAUCUGUUAAGACUUCCAGGAACCUCCAAACCAUUGUUUAGUUGGAAAAAAUUUAUUUUCCUUUUAUUUAAAUGGGGCUCUGCUUCCAUUCCAAGCCCUAUCUUCUCUCUUUCGCUUCCCGAAUGUGUAUUCUCCAAAUUGACUUUCACUUUCACUUGUUAUUCAAUUAGCCGCCAAUCUACAAGUUCUCCCCAAGGCUUGUGCCUAUUUUAAAUUCUUAUUUUUUCUUCGUGAGAUCAUCACUCACCCGACUUCAACAAUUUGUUUCUUGAUGCUUCUUCCUCCUACCCGCUCUUGUGGCCGCCCGUGGCUUUGGUGCAGCUGCCAUGAUGGACUAUGGCGCUGCAUUCCACCCCGCUGGAUCGGGGGAAAAGAUCCGGAGCUAUGGGGAGUUUGCCAUCUCCCCGUUCGCUCCGGCGGCUCCCCCACUCUUCGCUGCCCCUUCAAGGCAGCUAUGGUCCGAUCCAAAGUUCGGACGGAUCCCCUGGAUGAGGGGAUAUUGGUGCAAACCCCAGAGACAUCGGGGUUUGUGACCGUCUCGCCCACGACGCUGGCCAUGUCCUCUGAAAACUACAUUUUUCAAUAACUCAAUCUAAUCAUUUUACUUUGAAAAAAUAUGGAUUUAUAGUUUGCAUUAUUAGUUAGGGAACUUACUCAAAAACUUUUCAAACUGCCCUAGAGAGGAAGACACCACAUACAUACCCCUAAAAAAACAAAUAAACAAACAAACAAACCAUGCCAACCUAUUUAAUCUUUAUUUAAAUUACAUUUGCUGAAAGAGAGUUAAAUACAAUGCGAGUGCACUACAUAAAAAAGUACAUUGACCAUGAAAAUCCACAUUAAAUAUACUAAGAUCUCUCUUGGCAUAGAGUUGCCUAACAUGGGACCAGGCCAAAUAUAUCUCAUCACAAUAGGAGUAAGGCAACUAAGUUCAGCAGUACACCACAGGACAUAUGGUGUAUAGGGUAGCAGGGCUUCAUGCUGUGGUGGCUGGCGGAAGCAUAGGACCUGAGGCAGCACCCCUCAGCAACAGCAACACUGAUGAUGAAGUACAGGCCAAGGGGCAAUGGCAACCAGCAGAGACUGGUGAAGGGCCUGGACUUCUACAUCAGCCCCAGUUCCACUGCUGAGGAGUAUCAUCAUGCAGGGGAGCCAGAAGGGCAGGGAUAAAGGAAAAUGGGCAAGGGGGAGUUGAAGCACCCUUAAGUCAUAAGUGUGGGGAGGCUGCCAAGUAUCCAAAUCAUGAGACCAUGAGGGUGUUGUAACAGCCGUAACUUCAGGAAAUAGGCACAAGUUCUAUUUGUUCCAUUUGCCAUAACUUCAAACAGUUGCCAAACAAAUGGUCCUAAUUCAAGGAUUACCUUAAAUUUGAAGAUUAUUCUUUGAGAAAUAUGCUCAAGCAAACAUGUCCAAUUUCAUAACAGUUAAAUGAUUUAAAUAAAUACCAUAUAAAUAAUAGCUAAAUAUUAUAUAGAAAGAAUAAAUAAUAUUGUACAGAAAUUAUUAGGAAGUAUUUGUGGCUUGUUUCUGGAGGUGAUGAAAAGAUGUAAAGAUAUCACUUGAAAAUUUCUUUUACAACAACCAGCAUGAAAAGAAGUACAAGCCUUAAAUAGAAGAAAACUUUUAAUUAGAAAAUCAAUAGGUUGAUUUUGCCUCGUUUAGAACCUUUAACAUCCACAGAACUUCAUGUUAAAGACAUUAAAGUUCCAGUUGUAUGCCUUGGGCAUUUCUAAGUUACAUCACAUUUCUUUAGCAUUUGUGGGGACAUGUAACACUAACCAACAUGUUGAGAGGAAUCCAGCUACCUCUCCUUUAAAUAAUUAUAGUACCUACAAAUUAGAGAAAACCAUUGGUGUAUCCUAGCAAUAGAAAUAUCAGAUCUGGUUUUGUUGCUUUUGUAAUAACAUGAUGCAAGAUACAAACAAAAACUAGUUUCUUAGUAAUCAGGGAAAAACCUGACACACCUCCUAAUUGUCUGCAUAACCCACGUAGACUUUGUCUUUGUAAGAUGUAAGAAUCAGCAUUACCUCUGGGACAUCUUCCCCAAGCUAUACAAAUCAUCACUAUUAAAAGUGGCAUGAUUACUUGGCAGCAGGCACAUCUUACUGCCACAGAGAUGAGAAUCUGUAGUUACCCUUUGGCUCCAAUAAACUAUGAGCAAUAGAUAUGCCCAACCUUAAGGGAGGAUUGAAAACACCAUAAUAAUUACUCUUCAGCACCUCUAAGAGGUCAAGCUGACAAGUCAUUGUUCCUAGGAUUAUUUGUUCACCUUACUUUACUUUAACAGAAGCACAAGAAAGUAUCAAGUGGUAAACUACUAAAAAAAGUCCUUGCCUCAAAAAAAAUAAUCAUACUGUUUUGGAAAAGAAACAUAUAAAUGCUUCAUUUAAUCUGGUAACAUUAGCAUUCUGAAGAUAUUUCACUUUCAACAAAUAUUCUCCUAUUCUCAUAGAAUCUGGAAACUCUGGUUGAGAUACAGAAUGUGUUAGGAAUAGGAGAGGAUAAAAAAGUCAACACUGAGAAUGCAAGAAAAAACACCUACAAAAUCAUCUUAGGAUCUUCCUUCUGAUCAGCACCCAAGAAAUGUAGACAAAACAUAUGGCACAAGCUAGGAAAGGGAUUAGGUUAGGUUGGCCGAAAGCAAACAAAACAAAAAUACUUUAAAUAAGAAGGACCUUUAACACAAGGGACCUUUUUUCAGUUUAGAUUGUUUCUUCUCUCCGCUUCUUCCAAACUUCCACUAUAUUGAUUGAAUAGAAUAGAAUUCUUUAUUGGCCAAGUGUGAUUGGACACACAAGGAAUUUGUCUUGGUGCAUACGCUCUCGAUGUACAUAAAAGAAAAGAUACACUGAAGGGGCACACAGUCCAUAGGAGCUAAAGGUGGCAAAAAGAAUGGAAGGGAUGAAACAAUCCCCUUCUAGUAUCUUCCUUAAGUUCAUAGCCUGCAGAAGCUAAAUCACAAUUCAAGUUGUUUACCUAAAUAUAUUUAUGUGUGGUAGUUACAUUGUCUUUCUACUAGACACUAAGAGUGGCACUCAAGUUUCUUUGCUCUUUCCUCCAGCAAAAUUUGCUAGAACUCUGUGACAUAGGUUGGGCUGGGAAUAUAUUCUUACAGAUAAAACAAUUGUUUUAAACUAUGUUUGUUGAACAAGCCAUAAUAAUCUGGUCUAUCAAUAAAGCUAAUCCAAAAGGUAAACAAACAGCAUUAUAGUUCCAUAUUCUGGGUUAGAUGGUAAUUGGUCCAAAUCACCCAGUAAUCUUCAUGACUGAAUGGGAAUUUAAACUAAACUCUUCACUCCUAAUCCAACCUUCCAAUUGCUACAUUGUAGUAGCUUUUCCAAAUUAAAUGCUAUAAAAAUGGAAUUAAAUACUGCAGACAUCUACUAAGCACGAACAAGCUGAUUACAAUUUAUAGGCAAAGAUGAAAGCUAUUACGUGUGAAAUAUUUGGGAUAGCGCUUUCAGUCAGAGCAGGCAUUAAGUUAGAUGGAUCUCAAAAUAAUACAUUCCUAUAUUUCUAAUUGAAAUGAAUUUUCGCACCUGAACUCUAUCAAUUCACAGAGAUGAAUUUGAGUGAAAAAGAUUUAAUCCCAUGUAAAAAAAACUCUAAAAUGAAUCACACUCAAAUUGUGAUUACAGCUUGGAAAUACAUUGCUAGUAAAAAGGGAAAAUGCAUGGUGUUCUGUUUUAAUGGCAAAUUGAAAAGGCACAAGUAAGGAAGGAGUUAAAAACCAAUUCUGCACUUCCCUAAUUGAUAGAUACAUUCCCUCAUUUUAAGUAAAUAAAGGCAACAAAAUUUCAGCUCACUGCUUGAAAUCAAGACAUUUACAUGAGUUAAAAGCUAGCAAAGGUUAUGUUCGAUACUCAAGAGCUACAGCUUUAUUUUUGUGCCUUUAAGACUAAAAAAACUACAUAGCAGAGCUAUCUCUUACCUGAGGCAUAAUCUACAAGAGCACACAAUUAUUACCAAACAAUGUUAUGUUGAAGUAUGGAAAGCUUGCAGAGAAAAUGCCUUUUCUUUGACGCAAAUAAAAAUAGUUCUCAAGAUAUACUGCUUUACUUACUUACUAGCAGAGGUGCUUUAUUUUAACCCUAUUACUCAUAUUUGUAUAGUGUACCUCUAUUAAAAUAAAUUAACCAUAACUUAAGUUUCUAUGCCCCAGGCUACUCCAAGAUGAGAACAUCCCUAUCAUGGAAGCUAGAGUGCUACACCCUGCAGGGCUAGCAAAACAUUUGUUGAUAUAUGAGGCAUGUUUAAAAGCAAGUCUAUCAAUCCAAAAACCUAAAUCAGAUGUUUCUUACAAUUAGAUAAAUGGUAGGUUUGAAACAAUUUACAUAUGCAUAUGUCUAAACAAAGCAUCUACAUCAAAACCUCAUACACAGAAUACAUAAUAUCAAAACUCAUCUUCUAACAUUCAUACAACGAACAUGCAUAUAUAAAAGACUGGGAGCUAUUAAUUAAUAGAAUCUGAGCAGGUAAUAAAGUAAGAAUUUAGCAUUUCCCUCCUUUAUUACAGUCUGGAGUUUGGUUUGGUGUUUUUAAAAUCUGUCUUAUAAGCACCCACCCACCACGCAGUUAUGAAUCACUGAUAUAGUUAAUGAAGGCAAGCAUCACCAGUAAACAUAUAGAGCAUACACUACACAAGAAUUGCUGCCUUUUAAUUAUAACGCAGACAUGACAUAUUUGAAACCUGUACUUGAAAGAGAUAAAAGUUGUGCUACCUGUUAGUAAUACAUUCUUUCACAACAGGUGUCCUAUCAACAGGUGCAGAAGAACAAGCCCAUAAGUGGAAUUAUGUUGUGAAACACACAUUGCAUGUUUCAACAAGAACUGUCAGUAUUUAGCAGCUUGGCUUAAAAGACAAAUUGAACAGUAAAAUACAAUCUUGCCACAACUAAUUCAAGAAGAAAUAUUUCUGGAGCGGUUCUGAUGUUUAUAUACUCAAAUCUCUUGUCCUCACUAAGAAAACAUGUAAUGAUCAAAAUGAUCAUUGUAUUCUUGUAUUCAUCUGAUGCACUGGUAGUUUAAUUCCAUGAGGUAAGAACCAGCUUUGCUGGUAGUUUCUGUAAUCAACUAUACAAAUAAACAUGGAUACUCAGUGAAAUGAUUUUAUUUUUUUUUAUUUCAGGAUUGGAAAGCAGAGACUUCCAAUUUGCUGAAUUUUCCUGGCUAGCGCAGCUGGAACUGUUUUGAAUUUCAGCUUAACAUCUGGAACGUCAAAGAUAUCUUGAUCCCUGUUAUACAUCUCAUAAGGUAUUGAAGAAAACUCACAUAAGCACAAUGAUGUCAAAUUUGAAAUAUGCAGAUCCACAGCAGAAAGAAAUAUAAACAGUCUCUAAGAGUUCACAAAUUUUAGCUAAGGAUGAAUCACUUGGAUAUAAAAGUACUGUCUAAAUAGCUCAGCAAAUUGAUUUUCUGAAAUUAUAUCGUUAUAAUGCAUUUGAGCAUUAUAUAUUUUAAUAAGAUCAAUUUUCUAUAUAAUACCCAGUUCCAUUUUAUAUUUAUAUUUCACUGUGAAUUUCAAUUACCUUUCAUACUGUAUAUUUUAAAACUAUUUUUACUUCAAACAUUAAGGAACAGCUAAACUCUGAAAUGUGAAAUUACUAUGUGACAUCUGGCCCAGGAAAUUUAUUAUUCAAAACCUACUUCAUGCAAAUAAUUAUAUAUUUAAUCCAGUACUGUCAAGCCAUUAUACAUCUGGCAAUCUAUAUUUUAAGAUCUCAAAUAUUUUCAACUGACCUGAUAUCAAAACCACUACUGAACUCCAACUCCUAGGGUAAUCUUAAACAAAUCAUUUUUUCUUCAGCUUCAAUGUCACCUUUCUCUUUUUCUCUAACAAUUACCUUUAUUCCACAAUCUUCCUAAAUAGUACUGAAAAAAUAUUUUGAGGAAAAAUGUGAACUUUUGAAAGAAGAAUAUUUUUCCAUCUACUACUUACACUAAAAUAUCAAUAACUUCAUGGACAAAUGAAGACAAUUGUUGCUUUCUUUUUAAAAAAAUAAAUUUCUAAAUAUUUAUUUUCACAUUAUUUUAAUGCAGACCACUAAUUUCUGUUUCCUUCUCAGAUAUCCCAAGGUUGGACUGAGAUUGGCCUAUGUUACAACUAAUGAAAAAGAAAUAUUUGAAAAUAGUCAUUGCCUGUUAUCUAUACUUGUCCAAAGCAUGCUGGGAUCACAAUCUAAUUUCGUUGCAAUUGAGAAGAACAGACCAUGAAAGAUCCAAAAGGAUGAUCAAAACAUCAAGCAAACCUUAGUUGCUAUUAUCAUUUAACAUUUUAAAGCCACAAAAAUUGGGACAUUAAAAAUGGAAGAGCCAGAUUAAUAUUCUACUUAAAACAAUUUUGAGUUUCAUUCAAAAUUGGCCUAAUAAGCCAAACACUGUUAUCUAUGAAAAGAUAAUAAUGUAAAAUUAUACAGUUAUACAAAUGAUAGUUGAAUAUAGUAAUCAAAAUUCAUUUGAUUUAUAUUUAUGUUAUUUUUUCUAAAAUAUUUUUCUAAUAUUGACUGCAAUACCAGCUGCCCAUUGCUUAUAACAUAACCUUUAAUCAUGAAAGGAAAAAGUAUUGAACUCCCUCAAAAAGCCAUUUUUUUCCAAAGGAAAAAUUAGUUAAAUGAGCUACCAAAUCAAUAAAAUUGCUCAAUACUUGAGCAAUUCCUGUAAAGAAAGGGAAAUAUCUUUAUGAGCAAGUCUCUAGUUUCAAGAAAAUUACAUCUCAUUCAAGUUUCGAUUCAACUUGUUCAGUUUUCACCUGUUUUACUUAACAUACUCUAAUAACAGGUGGAAUAAAACCACACAGAACAAAGAAGAUAUGACUAAUAUUAAAGUAAUAUACAUCCUACAAGUUUCAUCAAGCAGCAACAGGCUUUGUUAAGUAGAUGAGGAAAACUUUUAAUUCUUAAACUUUGCCAACAUGAAAUAUAACAUGUUUCUGUUUCUUCUUCUUUUAAAGAACAAAGAAAAGCACCUAGGUGAAUUUUCUUUCUACUAAUAGGAAAAUUAGUUUCACUAAUACUACAAUUUCACAUAAUCACAGAAGGUUUCUGCAGUUGAAGGAUGGAGCAGAUCUGUUAAAAUUUCGAAGGAUAUUCUGAAAGGAGACCAAGAGAAGACGUAAAGAAAUCAAAUUGUCAAAUUAUCUUAUUUGGACACAUUAUGCAAGACCAAGCUCUCUAGAGAUGGCUCUAAUGCUGGGAAGAUGACCAGAAAAAAUGGUCUCAGUUACAGUGCACAAGAAACUUACUUUGAGACCAGGACUGCAGCUGCAUCACGAGACUUAUCACUUACAACAAGGUAUGACUAAAAGUAAGAAGAGAUUUGAAUUGCAAUU